rnacentral:rRNA from 1 species
AUGAACGCUGGCGGCGUGCCUAAUACCUGCCAGUCGAGCGAGCGGACGAGAAGCUUGCUUCUCUGAUGUUAGCGGCGGACGGGUGAGUAACACGUGGAUAACCUACCUAUAAGACUGGGAUAACUUCGGGAAACCGUAGCUAAUACCGGAUAAUAUUUUGAACCGCAUGGUUCAAAAGUGAAAGACGGUCUUGCUGUCACUUAUAGAUGGAUCCGCGCUGCAUUAGCUAGUUGGUAAGGUAACGGCUUACCAAGGCAACGAUGCAUAGCCGACCUGAGAGGGUGAUCGGCCACACUGGAACUGAGACACGGUCCAGACUCCUACGGGAGGCAGCAGUAGGGAAUCUUCCGCAAUGGGCGAAAGCCUGACGGAGCAACGCCGCGUGAGUGAUGAAGGUCUUCGGAUCGUAAAACUCUGUUAUUAGGGAAGAACAUAUGUGUAAGUAACUGUGCACAUCUUGACGGUACCUAAUCAGAAAGCCACGGCUAACUACGUG